UACAGAGGGUGCGAGCGUUAAUCGAAAUUACUGGGCGUAAAGCGCGCGUAGGCGGUUUGACAAGUAGGCUGUGAAAUCCCCGGGCUCAACCUGGGAACUGCAGUCUAAACUGUCUGACUAGAGAUCGGUAGAGGGGGGUAGAAUUUCUGGUGUAGCGGUGAAAUGCGUAGAGAUCAGAAAGAAUAUCAGUGGCGAAGGCGACCCCCUGGACUAAAUCUGACGCUGAAGUGCGAAAGCGUGGGGAGCGAACAGG
rnacentral:rRNA from 1 species